GGGCCCGCACAAGCGGCGGAGCAUGCGGAUUAAUUCGAUGCAACGCGAAGAACCUUACCAAGGCUUGACAUAUAUUCGAAGCUAUUAGAGAUAGUAGUGCCUUUUGGGCGGAUAUACAGGUGGUGCAUGGUUGUCGUCAGCUCGUGUCGUGAGAUGUUGGGUUAAGUCCCGCAACGAGCGCAACCCUUGUUCUAUGUUGCCAGCACGUUAUGGUGGGGACUCAUAGGAGACUGCCGGGGUCAACUCGGAGGAAGGUGGGGAUGACGUCAAAUCAUCAUGCCCCUUAUGUCUUGGGCUUCACGCAUGCUACAAUGGCCGGUACAGAGGGCUGCGAUUCCGUAAGGAUGAGCGAAUCCCUUAAAGCCGGUCUCAGUUCGGAUUGAGGUCUGCAACUCGACCUCAUGAAGUUGGAGUCGCUAGUAAUCGCAGAUCAGCAACGCUGCGGUGAAUACGUUCUCGGGCCUU
rnacentral:rRNA from 1 species